AUACCCGUCUGCCUUGUCUGUCAGUCUUCAAAAAAACAUGAAAACCACAAAAUGCGACCAGUUCAGGAGGCUGCAGAAGAGUAUAAGGAGAAACUCAGGACUGCACUGGCUCCACUGCGGGAGAAGCUUAAAGCCUUUAAUGCAGUGAAAUUAGACUGUGAUAAAACAGCAGAGCACAUCAAGAGCCAGGCCCAGCACACAGAGAGACAGAUAAAGAUGGAGUUUGAGAAACUUCAACAGGUCCUAAAAUAUGAAGAGGCAGCUAGGAUUGCUGCACUGAGGGAGGAAGAGAAGCAGAAGAGUCAGCUGAUGAUUGAGAAGAUGACAGAAGAGAUAUCAUCCCUUUCAGAACAAAUCAGAGCCAUAGAACAGGAGCUGGGAGCUGAAGACGUCUCAU